rnacentral:lncRNA from 1 species
UAAAAUUAUCUCACAAUCAAAACAUGAUCACACCUUAGUACUCUUUGGGUGUUAAGCACAUAGCGAUGUGAACUAGAUUAUUGACUCUAGUAAACCCUUUGAGUGUUGGUCACAUAGAUAUGUGAACUAUGGGUGUUAAUCACAUGGUGAUGUGAAUUGUUGAUGUUAAAUCACAUGGCGAUGUGAACUAGAUUAUUGACUCUAGUGCAAGUGGGAGACUGAAGGAAAUAUGCCCUAGAGGCAAUAAUAAAGUUAUUAUUUAUUUCCUUAUAUCAUGAUAAAUGUUUAUUAUUCAUGCUAGAAUUGUAUUAACCGGAAACAUAAUACAUGUGUGAAUACAUAGACAAACAGAGUGUCACUAGUAUGCCUCUACUUGACUAGCUCGUUAAUCAAAGAUGGUUAUGUUUCCUAGCCAUAGACAUGAGUUGUCAUUUGAUUAACGAGAUCACCUCAUUAGGAGAAUGACGUGAUUGACUUGACCAAUUCCGUUAGCUUAGCACCCGAUCGUUUAGUAUGUUGCUAUUGCUUUCUUCAUGACUUAUACAUGUUCCUAUGACUAUGAGAUUAUGCAACUCCCGUUUACCGGAGGAACACUUUGUGUGCUACCAAACGUCACAACGUAAAUGGGUGAUUAUAAAGGUGCUCUAUAGGUGUCUCCAAAGGUACUUGUUGGGUUGGCGUAUUUCGAGAUUAGGAUUUGUCACUCCAAUUGUCGGAGAGGUAUCUCUGGGCCCACUCGGUAAUGCACAUCACUAUAAGCCUUGCAAGCACUGUGACUAAUGAGCUAGUUGCGGGAUGAUGUAUUACGGAACGAGUAAAGAGACUUGCCGGUAACGAGAUUGAACUAGGUAUCGAGAUACCGACGAUCGAAUCUCGGGCAAGUAACAUACCGAUGACAAAGGGAACAACGUAUGUUGUUAUGCGGUCUGACCGAUAAAGAUCUUCGUAGAAUAUGUGGGAGCCAAUAUGGGCAUCCAGGUCCCGCUAUUGGUUAUUGACCGGAGACGUGUCUCGGUCAUGUCUACAUAGUUCUCGAACCUGUAGGGUCCGCACGCUUAACGUUACGAUGACAGUUUUAUUGAGUUUUGAUGUACCGAAGGAGUUCGGAGUCCCGGAUGAGAUCGGGGAUAUGACGAGGAGUCUCGAAAUGGUCGAGACGUAAAGAUCGAUAUAUUGGACGACUAUAUUCGGACUUCGGAAAGGUUCCGAGUGAUUCGGGUAUUUUUCGGAGUACCGGAGAGUUACGGGAAUACGUAUUGGGCCUUAUUGGGCCAUACGGGAAAGAAGGAAAAGGGCCUCAAGGGUGGCCGCACCCCUCCCCUUGGUCUGGUCCGAAUUGGACUAGGGAAGGGGGGCGCCCCCUUCCUUCCUUCUCUUUUUCCCUUCCUCUUUUCCUAUUCCAUAUGGGAGGUGGAAUCCUACUAGGACUAGGGAGUCCUAGUAGGACUCCACACUUGGUGCGCCCCCUCCUAGGGCCGGCCUCCUCCUCCCUUGCUCCUUUAUAUACAGGGGCAGGGGGCACCCCAUGGACACAACAAUUGAUCCUUGAGAUCUCUUAGCCGUGUGCGGUGCCCCCCUCCACCAUAUUACACCUCGAUAAUACCGUUGCGGAGCUUAGGCGAAGCCCUGCGUCGGUGGUACAUCAUCAUCGUCACCACGCCGUCGUGCUAACGAAACUCUCCCUCAACACUCGGCUGGAUCAGAGCUCGAGGGACGUCAUCGAGUUGAACGUGUGUAGAACUCGAAGGUGCCGUACGUUCGGUACUUGAUCGGUCGGAUCGUGAAGACGUACGACUACAUCAACCGCGUUGUGAUAACGCUUCCGCUGUCGGUCUACGAGGGUACUUGGACAACACUCUCCCCUCUCGUUGCUAUGCAUCACCAUGAUCUUGCGUGUGCGUAGGAUUUUUUUUGAAAUUACUACGUUCCCCAACAAAUUUUAGUUUCAAUAAUACUAGAGGUUUAUAAAAGCUUUUUAGUUGAUUCCUUUUGCUAUUAGAGUUUCAUUAAAGUUUUAUAGUUCAUUCUUUUUGCUAUUAGAGUUUCAUUAAAGUUUUCUAGUCCAUUAUUUUUUCUAUUAGAGUUUCAUAAAAGUUUUCUAGUUCAUUCUUUUUAUAUUAGUUCAUUCUUUGAGCUAAAUGACCCUGAAAUUGAAAAGCACUUCAAAUGAACUCUGAAGAGGUUGAAUGUUGGCAUGGUAUCAUCAUUUCACCCACAUAGCAUGUGCUAAAAAGUUGAGAGGGUUACGGCAAAAACUGGAUGCACUUCGUGUACAAAAUGGACAAUCUCUUUCGAAGUAUCAGGGUUUCGGACGAAAACUCAUCUGUUACAAAGGGAUUUCAUUUUUUUGAACUUAUUUGAACUUCAGACUUUUUGUGUGUUUAAAAUGCAUCAUUCAAAGCCACAUCAUCAAUUUUCAACCCUUUCUGACUUCAUUUGUUAUUUUUCAUGCAUUUACUGAGUUUUUUGAGCUAUAUGACCCUGAAAUUGAAAAACACUACAAAUGAACUCUGAAAGGUUGAAAGUUGGCAUGGUAUCAUCAUUUCACCCACAUAGCAUGUGCUAAAAAGUUGAGAGGGUUACGACAAAAACUAGAUGCACUUCGUGUACAAAACGGACAAUCUCUUUCGAAGUACCUGGGUUUUAUACGGAAACUCAUCUGUUACAAAAGGCAUUUCAUUUCUUCACAUGUAACUGCAGUGAUAUUCUAGAUCAAAGGCAUCAUCAUAAUAGUUGUGGAGAGAAAGUCUUCACUUUUUCUUCGCUUGUGUCCUUUGCUUAUUGCGCUGUAACCAUGGACAAUCUUCAUCGUUUAACAGGGUGCUUGGGUCAGCCUUGACUUUGAAGGGAGGAAUUUCAUGAAACUUUUCAUAAUCUUCAGACAUGUCUGUCUUGCCCUCCAAUCCCACGAUGUCUCUUUUUCCUGAAAGAACUAUGUGGCGCUUUGACUCAUCAUAUGAUGUAUUCGCUUCCUUAUCUUUUCUUUUUCUCGGUUUGGUAGACAUGUCCUUCACAUAGAAAACCUGUGCCACAUCAUUGGCUAGGACGAAUGGUUUGUCUGUGUACCCAAGAUUGUUCAGAUCCACUGUUGUCAUUCCGUACUAUGGGUCUACCUGUACCCUGCCUCCUGACAGAUUGACCCAUUUGCACUGAAACAAAGGAACCUUAAAAUCAUGUCCGUAAUCAAGUUCCCAUAUGUCCACUAUGUAACCAUAAUAUGUGUCCUUUCCCCUCUUGGUUGUUGCAUCAAAGCGGACACCACUGUUUUGGUUGGUGCUCUUUUGAUCUUGGGCGAUCGUGUAAAAUGUAUUCCCAUUUAUCUCGUAUUCUUUGUAAGUCAAUACAGUCGAAGAUGGUCCCUUGACCAAUGAGUACAGCUCAUCAGAAACAGUGUUGUCACCUCUGAGACGUGUUUCCAACCAACUGCCGAAAGUCCUGAUGUGUUCACAUGUAAUACAGUCGUCACACUGCUCUGGGUGUUUGAAGCGCAGAAUGUUCUUGUGUUCAUCGACAUACGCGGUCACCAUGGUAGAGUUCUGUAGAACUGUGUAGUAUGCUGGAGACCAAGAAUGCCCGUCCCUACAUAUUAUUGAGUCCCCUCCUAGCAUGCCUUUUCCAGUCAAUCUCCCCUCAUACCGCGAUUGAGGGAGACCAAUCUUCUUAAGGUCAGGAAUGAAGUCAACACAAAACCCAGUGACAUCCUCUGUUUGAUGGCCCAUGUAGAUGCUUCCUUCUGGCCUAGCGCGGUUAUGGACAUAUUUCUUUAGGACUCCCAUGAACCUCUCAAAGGGGAACAUAUUGUGUAGAAAUACAGGGCCCAGAAUGACAAUCUUGUCGACUAGAUGAACUAGGGCGUGCGUCAUGAUAUUGAAGAAGGAUGGUGGGAACACCAGCUCAAAACUGACAAGACAUUGGGCCACAUCACUCCUUAACCUUGGUAGGAUUGCUGGAUCGAUCACCUUCUGAGAGAUUGCAUUGAGGAAUGCACAUAACUUCACAAUGGCUAAUCGAACGUUUUCCGGUAGAAGCCCCCUCAAUGCAACCGGAAGCAGUUGCAUCAUAAUCACAUGGCAGUCAUGAGACUUUAGGUUCUCGAACUUUUUCUCUGCCAUAUUUAUUAUUCCCUUUAUAUUCGACGAGAAGCCAGACGGGACCUUCAUACUGAGUAGGCAUUCAAAGAAGAUUUCCUUCUCUUCUUUGAUAAGAGCGUAGCUGGCAGGACCUUCAUACUGCUUUGGAGGCAUGCCGUCUUUUUCAUGCAAAUGUUGCAGAUCCUCCCGUGCCUCCGGUGUAUCUUUUGUCUUCCCAUACACGCCCAAGAAGCCUAGCAGGUUCAUGCAAAGGUUCUUCGUCACGUGCAUCACGUCGAUUGAAGAGCGGACCUCUAGGUCUUUCCAGUAGGGUAGGUCCCAAAAUAUAGAUUUAUUCUUCCACAUGGGUGCGCGUCCCUCAGCAUCAUUCAGAACAGAUAGUCCGCCGGGACCCUUUCCAAAGAUUACUUGUAAAUCAUUGACCAUAGCUAGUAUGUGAUCACCGGUACAGAUGGCGGGCUUCUUCUGGUGAUCUGCCCCGCCUUUGAAAUGCUUGCCUUUCUUUCGACAUUGAUGGUUGGCCGGAAGAAAUAGACGAUGCCCCAGGUACAUGUUCUUCCUGCAUUUGUCCAGGUAUAUACUUUCGGUGUCAGCUAAACAGUGUGUGCAUGCGUGGUAUCCCUUGUUUGUCUGUCCUGAAAGGUUACUGAGAGCAGGCCAAUCAUUGAUGGUUACAAAUAGCAACGCAUGCAGGUCAAAUUCCUCCUGUUUGUGCUCAUCCCACACACGUACAUCGUUUCCAUUCCACAGCUAUAAAAGUUCUUCAACUAAUGGCCUUAGGUACACAUCAAUGUCGUUGCCGAGUUGCGUAGGGCCUUGGAUGAGAACUGGCAUCAUAAUGAACUUCCGCUUCAUGCACAACCAAGGAGGAAGGUUAUAGAUACAUAGAGUCAUGGGCCAGGUGCUGUGAUUGCUGCUCUGCUCCCCAAAAGGAUUAAUGCCAUCCACGCUUAAACCAAACCAUACGUUUCUUGUGUCACCUGCAAACUCCUCCCAGUAUUUUCUCUUGAUUUUUCUCCACUGCGACCCAUCAGCGGGUGCUCUCAACUUCCCGUCUUUCUUACGGUCCUCUCUGUGCCAUCGCAUCAACUUGGCAUGCUCUUUGUUUCUGAACAGACAUUUCAACCGUGGUAUUAUAGGAGCAUACCACAUCACCUUGGCAGGAACCCUCUUCCUGGGGCGCUCGCCGUCAACAUCACUAGGGUCAUCUCGUCUGAUCUUAUACCGCAAUGCACCGCAUACCGGGCAUGCGUUCAAAUCCUCGUACGCACCGCGGUAGAGGAUGCAGUCAUUAGGGCAUGCAUGUAUCUUCUGCACCUCCAAUCCUAGAGGGCAUACAACCUUCUUUGUUGCGUACGUACUGUCGGGCAAUUCGUUAUCCUUUGGAAGCUUCUUCUUCAAUAUUUUCAGUAGCUUCUCAAAUCCUUUGUCAGGCACACCAUUCUCUGCCUUCCACUACAGCAAUUCCAGUACGGUACCGAGCUUUGUGUUGCCAUCUUCACAAUUGGGGUACAACCCUUUUUUGUGAUCCUCUAACAUGCGAUCGAACUUCAGCUUCUCCUUUUCACUUUCGCACUGUCUCUUUGCAUCAACAAUGACCCGGCGGAAAUCAUCAUCGGGCACAUCGUCUGGUUGCUCUUGAUCUUCAGCUUCCCCCAUUGCAGCAUCACCGUAUUUAGGGGGAACAUAGUUGUCAUCAUCCUCUUCUUCUUCGUUGUCUUCCAUCAUAACCCCUCUUUCUUCGUGCUUGGUCCAAACAUUAUAGUGUGGCAUGAAACCCUUAUAAAGCAGGUGGGUGUGAAGGGUUUUUGAGUCAGAGUAAGACCUCGUAUUCCCACAGCUAGGGCAUGGACAACACAUAAAACCAUUCUGCUUGUUUGCCUCAGCCACUGCGAGAAAAUUAUGCAGGCCCUCAAUGUACUCGGAGGUGCGUCUGUUACCAUACAUACAUUGCCGGUUCAUCUGCGUGCAUUAUAUAUAAUUAAGUGUGUCAAAAACCAUUACAGAACAUGAUGAAUAGAUAAGUGACCAAUCUUACAAGUAAGAAUUUUUUUCUUUUAGAAAGAAGAUAAGAACAAGAGGCUCACCACGGUGGUGUGCCGGCGACGAGAUCGGCGCGGGCGAUCGACGGCGGUGAAGACGGGGACGGGACGUGACGGACCGCUAAACCUAGACAAAUCUUGAGGAAAAUGGAGUUUGGAGGUCGAGCUUGGAGAGGAGAAAGCUUAAGUAGUGUGGCUCGGGCAUUUCAUCGAACACCUCAUGUGCAUAGGAGGUGAGCUAGAGCACCACAAAGCUCUCCCUCGCUGGCCAGAAAAAACAGAGCAGUGGAAUGCUCUGCUCGCGGGCGAGGGGGUAUAUAUAGGCACCUCAUUGGUCCCGGUUCGUGGCUGGAACCGGGACUAAAGGCCCCCCUUUGGUCCCGGUUCCAGACAUGAACCGGGACCAAUGGGCCUCGCUCCUGGCCCACAACCAUUGGUCCCGGUUCGUGGCUGGAACCGGGACCAAAGGGGACAGAUGAACCGGGACCAAUGCCCCACGAGGCCCGGCCGACCCCCUGGGCGCACGAACCGGGACCUAUGCCCCCAUGGGUCCCGGUUCAUGACUGAACCGGGACUAAUGGGCUGGUCAGGCCUGGACCAAAGCCCUGUUUUCUACUGGUGGAGAGAGAGAGAGAGAAUGGGAGUCAGAGGCGGUUGUGGCAGCUGGAGGACAGCAUCUAUUUUGGUCAAAACCAUCUAACCCAUUUACCACAUCAACUAAAAAAAUGCUUAAGGGGGCGAUUUAAAUGUCGUUGCAUGUACACUCGCAUAAACCAGACUAAAUUUCACUCCAGGAGUUAUUUAUCGGCUUCAAAUAGACUUAUCUUUACUGUUAAAGGGGGUUUGCGGUUGUGAUGGUAGGUUUGAUGUUUAUACGUUCGUUGGUCACCCCUCCUCCUAUCAGUGUUGUCCUUUCCUUGGAAACAAACAUUACCAGCAACUGCCACCGUACCGACCUAAAAUGCUUUAGCGAUGCGUAUGGCAACCAACACACCUCGUACCCCCGCUAAAGCCACUGUAUCCCCCUCCAGGAAUGCGCAUGGCUACUGUGAAGGAGGCGCAGUGCUUCCGCCCGCUCGAUGAGGCUACAUCUGGGCCAUCUGGCUCUCCCUGCCACGACGCGCUCACUUUCAGGGAGGCUCGGCGACAGCAACCUCAACUUCAUGUACAACUCACCUCUGACCCUGGCGUCGUCGUCACAAGUAGGUUUGUGCCUCUGCCCACCGGUGCGCCACCGUCUGCUCCUUGCCCAUGUCUUAUCAACCUCUUUGAUCCCAUGCAUGGUCGCGCUCACACCCGUCCUUGUCGUCGUAGCGUACAUCUUCCACGUGGACCCCACCUCCGUCAUCAGGGGUGAUUGGUCAACGGUGCUGCGCAAGCAUGUGCAAGCUAAUGUUGUCGUGUACUCCCUCCGUUCCAAAUUACUCGUCGCAGAAAUGGAUGUAUCUAGAACUAAAAUACAUCUAGAUACAUCCGUACCUGCGACAAGUAAUUCGGAACGGAGGGAGUACAUCCCAGUGAUUCCCCGACAUCAAGUCCGGUGAUGCACAUUGGAGUUCGCGGUUGUCCGCCUAUGUGUUGCACCAAAGGACACAAUCGCUAGGUGAUGUACUAAUGUCCACUGUACCUAUAAAAACUGGACUGUAUUUGAAGUUAGAAGUAAUUGAACCCAAUCUGUUACUUGCACCUUACCUAAGUUUUGUUCUUGCAUUUUGUCCUUCGUUUCCCUUAUCAUCUACUCCCUCCGUUCCAAAAUAUAAGUCUUUCUAGAGAUUUCAAUACGUGACUACAUACGGAGCAAAAUGAAUGAAUCUACACUCUAAAAUAUGUCUUCGAAAUGUCUAAAAAGACUUAUAUUUCGGAACGGAGGGAGUAAUUAUCUGUAGAAGCUACUACAUCAAAUUAAGUAAGUACAUCCUUCUUUCUUCUCCAAGUUUGUUCUAUUAUGUUCAUCGGAAGUCUGUAAAGUGGAGUUGGGACCAAGAGAGUGGCGUAGAUUUGCUUGAGGUUUUGAAUUAUUUUCUACUGUCAUAUUUGCAUGUUAUAUUGUUUGCAUAAUGAUUAGUGUCAAAAAGUAGUGGCAACCAUUUGGUUGAGUAAGCUCAUGUUUUUACUCAAUCCAGAAUUACCGGUAAAACACAGAAGUUUAUUGUGAUAUGAUUUGCAUGAAAACGCUCAUUUGACUUUGGUGAAUGCUUCAUCUAAUGUAUAUUCCUCCAUACAAAUAAUUUAAUUUAAUUUGAGCAGAAUACUUUAUGGAUGGAUGCAAGAAGAGGACUACUAAACAUGAUUCUUUUAUAGUUAGUUGGCUCUUUUAUUUGGAGUGAAAUAUAAGUUGCAACCCAAUUAGUUAUUUUAUCUGCUAUCACAUGCUUCAUGUGAGAAAUUGCAAAGAAUAUGUUUUGAAUUAGCACUUUAGCUCUUGAUGCACCGUCAUUCAUUGCCACCUCAUAGAGAUUAUUGGCAAGAUAGCUGAGAGGAAGAGAGUGAAACUAUGAUAACAUAUAUUAUAGAGAUUUCAGACCCAAUAGUAUUUGCAGUCUUGUUGUGGAUCGUUUGCAAGUUUUUUGGCUAAUAAGUGUCAGCAUUGCAUGCCUGAUUGGGUUAGUCAACCCCAAUGUUCUCUAUUGCAAGUUAGAAGAAUUUAAGAUGAUGAUCCUAAGCUAUGAAAUCAACAACGUCAAGCAUAAAUAUAAUAUCGAUGUCGUCAAUAAAUGUUCUUGACAAAGCCUUUUCAGAUAACAUAAUGGAGCUUUAUUUGCAAAGUGGUAAAUGGAUCUAGUAAAGGUUUUUUGGACCAUUAUUCGUUUGAUACAAUUUUGUAAUCUACACAUGGUCGCAUUUAAAACAACACUACGUUUGAGUGAGGUGAGCAUUAGUGAACAAUCAUAGCUGACAAGGAGGAAGAUGGGACAACUAUGAGGAGCUCGUCAUAGUGGGAUCUAGGUUGUCGGUUGGCCUUGGUCAGGAGGUCGGAGGAAGGGGCGAGAGGCACCGAUGAUGGAGGUGUACAUCCUGCUUCCCCCUCGUCUCCCUAGACAUGGAAGACCUCCUUGACAAGAGCCAUGGUUAAAUUUGUAAAUUGCAAGACAUUGUGCAUCAAUGUGCACAUAUCAUAAUGUACUGUGAGAAGUUUAAAGAAAGAGGGGAGAGUGUAGCUAAUCAUGUUUUUUUUCACUUUGAUUUUCUUAGCUACGCAUCAUGUUUGUUUUUCUUUAUAUUCCUUUGGUGAGUGUAGCUCAUCAUGUUUUUUUUUACUUUGAUUUUCUUAGCUACGCAUCAUGUUUGUUUUCCUUUAUAUUCCUUGUGGUCACUAAAUGAUGUCAAAGAAUAAGGAGGGACAAACAUCAUUACGUGCAUACGUCACCAGACAAUGUGCCACCAUCUCUUGGUGAGUCAGAACCUUUUUCACUUGUAUGACACGUACAAUACAGCAGCAUCUCUCGCCGAGGACCAUUUCAUAGAGUUGUUAUUAAAGUUAUAAAAAUGUGCCCACUCAAUGGUAAGCUGAGAUGGCCAACUUUUGAAACGACAAUGUUNNNNNNNNNNNNNNNNNNNNNNNNNNNNNNNNNNNNNNNNNNNNNNNNNNNNNNNNNNNNNNNNNNNNNNNNNNNNNNNNNNNNNNNNNNNNNNNNNNNNNNNNNNNNNNNNNNNNNNNNNNNNNNNNNNNNNNNNNNNNNNNNNNNNNNNNNNNNNNNNNNNNNNNNNNNNNNNNNNNNNNNNNNNNNNNNNNNNNNNNNNNNNNNNNNNNNNNNNNNNNNNNNNNNNNNNNNNNNNNNNNNNNNNNNNNNNNNNNNNNNNNNNNNNNNNNNNNNNNNNNNNNNNNNNNNNNNNNNNNNNNNNNNNNNNNNNNNNNNNNNNNNNNNNNNNNNNNNNNNNNNNNNNNNNNNNNNNNNNNNNNNNNNNNNNNNNNNNNNNNNNNNNNNNNNNNNNNNNNNNNNNNNNNNNNNNNNNNNNNNNNNNNNNNNNNNNNNNUGGUUUUCUCUUUUUUGGUUUUGUUUGCAAGGUUUUUCUUUUCUCUUACUAUUUCAUUUUCUUUUUUUUUAAAUUCAUGAACCUUUUUCUCAAAUUCAUGAACCUUUUUCAAAUCCAUUGACAUUUUAUUAAAUCCAUGAACUUUUUUUCAAAUGCAUGAAUGUUUAGCAGAUCCAUGAUCUCUUUUCAAUCUGCAUGAACAUUUUCCAAAGUCCAUGAACAUUUUCAAAUUCGUAAUCAGUGAAGUUUUUCAAAUUCUAUGAACUUUUUUCAAAUGUCAUGAACUUUGUCAAUAUUUUGAACUUUUCUUACAUUUGUAAACUUAUUUUCAAAUUUCAUUUUUUUUCAAAUCUCACAAAGUGUUUCAAAUUUGUGGAGCCUUUUCCAAAUUUGUGAAUUAUUUCAAGUUCUUGAUGUUUUUCUCAAAAUAGUCAUUUUUUUGUAAUUUUUUUCCAUUCUUUGUGAUUUUUUUCGAAUUCAGUUUUUUUGCAACUUCGAGAACUUUUUUGAAAACCGCAAAGUUUUCUCAAAUUCAUGAAAUUCUUUUAAAUUCAUAAACUUUUUUCAAAUCCACAAACUUUCUUUCAACUACACGAAACUUGUGAUUGUUUUCAAAUUCAUGAACUUUUAUGAAAGCAACCGAAAUCCUCAAAAAAGUCAAAAUUGCACGGUUUUUUAAAUUCAUAAUUUUUAGAUCUUUUUUGUGCUCAAAUUUUAAACUGUAUAAAACCAAUGGUCAUGCCAGUAACAUUAGGAAACAGCUAACCUAAAAGAACAACCAAUGAUCCUCAUUUUUUUGAGGAACAAUGAUCCUUGUUUUUCUUUUUGAGCGGUACCAAUGAUCCUCUUUUUUUUAGGAAGCAGCUAUCCUCGCGUGAGGGAGAGGUGGGAUAGUGGGUUGCGUCCUAACCCAACGAGACACAUUUUUUUUUCAAAUGGCUGAAGUAUGGGAGCAACUAACCAAGGGGUACCCCUUGUGGGAGCCCCAUAAGAGUCACUAGUGGUUGAGGGGCCACCCUGUGGCGCCGCUUAAGAGGAAGUUAUGUGCAUGUUUUCAUUUAAGAAAAGCAUGUGGUCCUCGCCUCUAUCUAAAAAACAUCUCAGAAAAAAAAUCCUCACUUCCAUGUAAAAGAAGAAAAGAAAAGAAAAAUACCACCGUAGCCUACCGGCGAGCGCCACUUUGCAUAACCCUUCAUUUUAAAAAAUACGUGGGUUUCUGACCACCAUCCAAAAACAUUUCAGAAAAAAUCUUCGCCUCUAUCUAAAACAUAUUCCAAAAGUUUUCUCAUCGCGGUCAACCAGCUUGCGCCAUGUGGCAUGGCUGGUUGGCCGCCAAUCUCGCGAUGCUUAAUAGGUUUAAUUUUUGGUGGGCAGAGAAUGCGUCACUUGGCGCGCUUUCAGCAGUUGCCAUGUGUCGCGUGCUAGACGUUACCUUGUGUUUUUUAUAUUUUUUGUAUGUGUUUUUGGGUAUUAGAUUUUUUUGGUUUCUUUUUGAAUUUUUGAUUUUCUUCGGUUUUUCUUAGGUUUUGGUGAGAAAGAAAACGUGUUUUUUUAUGAGAGACACAGAUUUGAUUCUCGUGAAGGCACUGGUUUGCUUCCGCUAGAGGCACAUAUAUUUUUCUCAUGGAGGCAUUGGUUUGAUUCCUCGACAGGCACCGAUUUGCUUCUGGUGUAGGCACAUGUUUUGCGUGGAAUUUUUUUUCGUCAAAACAUAUCAACGUGGGAUACAGUUUCGAAGAUCUCGACGCUAGAAAUCCAUCGAUAAAAAUGAUUCGUAAUUUGGACCCAUGGUUUAAGAAAUAAAAUAUUUUAAAUAAACGAAUCUAUGAAAAAAAACUAGCAGGUUGUACACAUAUAUUGCGUUCCUUGUGGCAACCUGAGAAGAAAGGUGGGAGUGCGCGAACGUCUUGGACGCAGCAGCAAAGUCUCUGUGGAGGACGUUGCUGCUGGGCCUGCACGCGCCCGGCCCCGAGACUUCGGGCCUGCGCACAGCCGGCCCACGCAGCCCAUGGCCCGCGGGCGAUAAGAGAAGGGAAAACCUGGCCCUGGCCGCUAGAAAGUUGCGUGUCCGGCUCCCCCACCUGCGCCGAGCCGCGCCGCAACGCCACCUCGCCUUUCCCUCCCCCCCUUCCCUUCUUCCUCCUCCCUUUCUCUCUCGCCCGCCACCAUUACCGCCGCCGCCCCCCCACGCAACCCUAACCCUACCCCGCGCCCCCGCCCACCGCCGGUACCCCGGCCGGUGCCCGAACCCGCCCGCGCCCAUGGAGCCCGAGCAGCCGGCGGCCGACCCCGCCGCCGCCGAGCCGGAAGACGAGGAGGAGGAGGAGGAGGAGGAGGAGACGGAGGCGCCCGACGCGGAACAGGAGGCCGCGGAGGACGAGGAGGACGCGCUGCUCGACCGCGCGCAGGCCCUGAUCUCCCGCGUCGUCGAGCAGGAGAGCAACCCCAACCCGCGCCUCAUCCACACCCUCGCCACCAUGUGCGAGGUCCAGGAGGCCAGGUACUCUCUCACCCAUCCCCUUCCUGCCCUUCCGCCCGCCGCGGCGGGGAAUUCGGCUCCGCCCCGCCGCGCCCCGCCUGUGUCGAAUUGAUCGAUUGGUUGGUGUCUAGGGCUUCCCCUCCCCGCGUUCGCGACACGGCUUGUUUCUCUCGCGGGAGAGAGGCAUCAGGUGUUCUUGGGCGCCUUCUCGCAAAGUCUUGAUACUAUUUUUUUUGUUCUGUUCAUACGACAUUUAUGCCGUUUGCUUGCGGGCUAGGAAGCCGAUGUAGUGAAGAAAGGCAUAAAGAUGGAGUGGCUAUGCAAGUCAAGCCCAGCGAGUGGAGUGGAUUGUAGUGGUUGAUAAAUAAAAACAAAAAAAAUAAUAGUACUGUCGUGUGCUUGCCAGUGUGUCAUCAUGCGUACAAAGCAGUUGGGGUUGACCCUGUAUUUUUGUCUGAUUUGAUCUCGGCAAAAUCAGUGAUAUGUUGUCGAGGUUUUCAGAACCCGGUGCAAGUUUAAUCUCUCUGUCUUUUUUUAUAUAAUCCACAGUAAGUACAUAUAUGAAAGCACCUGUUUGAUUGAGAUUUGUAGGCUUGUAGCACAUAGUGUUUGCCGAGUCACAUUGCUCCUGAGACAUUCCUUAUAAAUUCCUUUAGAUGGUGCUCAGUUCGAAUAACAUUGAUGAGCUAAGAAGCUGUAUGAAAUCUGCUAUGUGGUUUACAGUAUGGAGCCUCGUGCUUGAUCGAGAUGUAUAGCUCAUAAUGUUUUUGGUGAAUCACAUUGCUCCUAAUAUUUCUCAUUUCGCUCAUCAUAACCAUGCCUAUGUCCCCUGCAGGCACCUGCAGGAAUGCGCUAGUGAUCCGUCCUUCAAUAACACAAACACAAGGGGCUCCCAUACUAUAGGCAAGCUGGCGAGUUUGAUCAGGGUGCGUCUUCUGCUUCUUUUCUGCGUCCAUCGGCCUAAUAACCCGAGUCUUACCUGUUUAUUGCUGAGAUUAAUCGUUGCUGCCUCGACUGUGUCUGCAGGAGAAUGAUGAUUUCUACGACCUAGUGUUUUCUAAGUUCUUGUCAGAUACAUCGUACCCUUUGCCAGUACGCUGUGCUUCUGCUAGGCUGCUCCUAAGCAUCCAGGAUGCAUUUUCGGUUAGCUUACUGCCCCUACCUCCCUCCCUUCAUGCAUGCACACUCUUUUGCAUUGCGAUCAUACUUCAGUCUUCUUCUGUUUCCUACACUACAUUCUAUUAACUUGACGCGUGUUUGUGUCCUCAGCCUCAGUUUUCUCAUCCUUUUGAAGAUGCUACCCUAGAAAAUAUAAAAUCCUGGAUAAAGGAAGAUGGUGAAGCAUCGGAUGAAUGUGAUUGGAAGCAUCUAGGAAGUGGUAAAAAACCCACAGAUACUGAGAUGAUGAGAACAUAUGCUAUUGGGUUGCUCUCGAUGGCGUUGUAUGGGUACUGUCAUGUCUUACCAAUAUGAGAUCUUAUAGCAUUCUUCUUUUCUUCAUCAGCCUUUCUGUUAUCAGUAAUCUGAUUGUUGCACUUUGUUCUUUUGCCAGUGGUGGGCGUUUGGUAGAAGAUGUCUUGAACAUGGGAGUAUCAGCCAAGCUCAUGCGUUUUCUGCGAAUACGAGUCUUUGGUGAUGCCACAUCUCCAGAGAAAGAUGCCAAUCUUCCACUAGAUACCAAGCAUCCUCGGGGUAGAGAUGAGAAUAGGGGCAAAGUACGAUUGCUUCAAGACAGUUCUAUACUGGACGGAACAAGGGCUGGAGAUGGAAUAUCGACUGACCCAACUUUGGAAAAACAGUUUGAUCGUGAUGUUGGGAUGAGGCAAGCACACGGAGAACAGGGGAUGGAUGACACUGGUUACCUGCUACGUGAUGAUGUUGAUUCUACAAUGGAUCCUUUUGAUGCAAAGUCAGUCGAUGGGGAAAAGUAUCCUGCAGGUGAAAGCCUGAGAGAUGAACUCUUGAAGAGAAAGUUCAGCCGUACAGGAUCUCGACUAAGAGGGAAAAUCAAACCAGGUGAAGGCUUGCCUGAAAGUGAACGGACACCUUUAUCGCCAACAGGAUUGAGAAUGGGAAGUCGGACUAGCAAAGAAAAGAAUGCGGCUAAGGUCGAGGACCCAAAGAAAGCAAUCGAUUUGAACAAUAGCUCUGCAGCCCCCGAGUCUGAUAUUCUUAGUAUUUCUAAAGAAGAGUAUGAGGACCGGUUCAGGGAUUGCAUUAUCGGCUUGAAGGAUAUAACUGACAUUGUCUUGAAGGCAGUGAGAGCUGCAGAAGCGGAAGCCAGAUCAGCGAAUGCUCCUGAGGAAGCUGUGAAAGCAGCAGGUGAUGCUGCUGCUGAGCUUGUGAAAUCUGCUGCUUUAGAGGUAUGGAAUAAGACAUCUCUGCACCUCCCACAAUAGGAAUACUUAUACUUGACACUGAUUCAUUUUCUGCUUCACUAUAUGUUAGUAACUUUUGAGACGCUGUGUUUUUGAAGGCUUGGAAGAGUGAAAAUAGUGGCGAUGCCGUUGUAUUAGCCGCUGAGAAAGCUGCAGCUACUGUAGUCGAUGCUGCCAUGUCCACUAGCGUCUCAAGGUAAUGGAAGAAACACAUCCUCUCUGUGUGUGUCUGUUUGUGUUUGUGUCGUCUUAUUUCAUUAUAUUAUUGUUCCUUUUCUGAGUUUUGUUUGGUAUUGCAGAAGCUCUGACCAGGUUAAUGAGGAGCAUGUUGUUGAAGAAGCUGUGAAAAUUAGUGAGGACCAGGAUCUGGAAGAUUUUGUUAUCAUUGACCAGGAGCAGCUCUUGCUACUUAGGGAAAAAUAUAGCAUUUUGUGCUUGCAGUAUCUUGGAGAGUACGUUGAAGCUUUGGGUCCUGUUCUUCAUGAAAAAGGUGUUGAUGUUUGCCUCGCAUUGCUGCAACGGGGAAUCAAAGACCAGGAGGGAUGUGGCCACGUUUCACUACUUCAUGAAAUUCUUAGAUUGAUUUGUGCCCUGGCCGCACACCGGAAAUUUGCUGCGCUAUUUGUUGACCGGGGUGGUAUUCAGAAGAUCCUCUCUGUCCCUAAGAUUACUCAGACAUACACUGCUCUGUCUGCAUGCUUGUUUACUUUCGGUUCUCUCCAGGUAAACAUAUAAACCUAAACUGGCUGGUCAUGCAUUCUGUUGAUCUAUCCAUGGUUUCCCUUGACCGUUCAUUUAUCUUAUUGCUAAGCAUCCUCUGUUCUUGCAGUCUACCAUGGAACGUGUUUGUGCGCUUUCACCUGACACACUCAACAAUGUGGUUGAACUAGCGCUGCAACUCUUAGAAUGCCCACAAGAUGCAGCUAGAAAAAAUGCAGCCAUAUUCUUUGCUGCUGCAUUUGUGUUCAAAGCUGUUCUGGAUUCAUUUGAUGCACAGGAUGGGAUGCAAAAACUUCUGAAUAUAUUACAAGUUGCUGCAUCCGUAAGGUCGGGUGGUAACUCUGGAGCAUUAGGAUCCUCCAAUGCGAAUCAAGGGAAUGACCGAUCGCCUGCUGAAAUUCUGACUCAGUCAGAAAAGCAGGUCGCGUAUCAUUCAUGUGUUGCACUACGUCAAUAUUUUAGAGCUCAUCUCCUUCAGCUUGUUGAUUCCAUCCGGCCAAGCAAGAGCAUCCGUAGUAUUGCUCGGAAUACUUCCAGUGCAAGAGCUGGUUACAAACCUUUUGACAUCGGCAACGAGGCUAUGGAUGCUAUUUUUCGUCAGGUCCAGCGGGACAGAAAGUUAGGACCUGCUCUCGUAAGAGCUCGCUGGCCCGUGAUGGAUAAAUUCUUGGCCUCUAAUGGUCAUAUUAUCCUGCUAGAAUUAUGCCAGGUAAAAAUAUGGUAUUGUUUUUCUUUUCUACUUCCUCUGAGAAAUAGAAUGUUUGCAGUUAAGCUGAUUUGAUUUACAACAAUCUGUUUCAGAGUCUACCUGCUGAUCGGUAUCUUCAUGACUUGGCUCAGUAUGCAUUUGGAGUUCUUCACAUCAUAACUCUUAUGCCACACAGCCGCAAAUUGAUGGUGCAUGCUACAUUAACUAACAACCGUAUUGGUAUGGCUGUUAUACUAGAUAUAGCAAACAGUGUUGUUGGCUAUGUUGAUCCUGAGGUGUGUUUUUCCUUCUCAAGCUAUGCAUUAACUAAGCUUUACAAAUCCAACAGUAUUUGCCUUGCUGAAAUUCUUCCAAAUAAUGUAUCCUUUUACCAUCUUUUGUGCAUUAGGUGAUUUGUCCAGCAUUGAAUGUGCUUGUCAAUCUUGUAUGCCCCCCUCCAUCGAUCAGCAACAAGCCGUCCUCAGCUGUUAAUCAGCAGCCUGCAGGAAGUUAUUCAGAGAGCAGAGACAGGAAUGCUGAAAAAAGCACUUCAGAAAGAAAUGUUGCAGCGAACCAAAGUGAAUCUCGGGAACGAUAUGGCGAUGGCACACCUGUUGUGUCAUCUGGAGUUGUUGGUGACAAGAGAAUAUCGCUAGGUGUAGGAGCUGGGGGUCCUGGUCUUGCUGCUCAAUUGGAACAAGCUUAUCGCCAAGCUCGAGAAGUAGUCAGAGCCAAUAAUGGUAUAAAGAUUCUUUUGCAGCUUCUUGGCACUCGGAUGGUUACACAUCCUUUGGCUAUUGAUCCUAUUCGAGCCCUUGCCUGUCGUGUACUGCUUGGCUUGGCUAGAGACGAUGCUAUUGCACAUAUACUGACGAAGCUCCAGGUAUCGUGGACAUCAGAUCAAUGCACUUCUUUUCAUGCUCUAGCUAUGACCUGUAAUGUAGAAACUUUAUCUUACUAUUGCAUGACUACUAUCUCAAUAAUGAGCAACUGCUAGUGACUACUCCCUCUGUUUCACAUAUAGGGGUCUAUCCCUUCCCCCCUCUUGCCUUGUUUCGAAAUGUAAGUCUACUACAGAAUUAGUAGUGUAGUUAAUGAGGUAUUGCUGUCUUACAAAGGUUGAACACUACCUAUUCAAACUAAAUCAUGGGAUAGUUGGCUAAACAUGUUCACCUUUCCCUUUCCCCCUCAAUUUCUCUUCCUUUGUCUGUGUGAAAAAUGCCAUGAGAUGAAAGGGAGUGAGUGGCAACCAAGCCUAUUCUUUGUUCUGAUAAUAGGGCUGGCAAACUGCCCCUCUCUGAUAUCCUUCUUUUAUCAUCUCUUUACACGUCUCCUAUUCCUGGGCAACUUUGUUUUUGCGGAUGUGCCUCCUAGGUCAGUAACUUAAUUAUUAACAUGUUAUUUCAGGUAGGGAAGAAAUUAUCAGAACUUAUUCGUGAUACGAGUACCCAGUCAUCUGGAGGUGAUAAUGCAAGAUGGCUAAAUGAACUGACCCAAGUGGCAAUUGAGCUCAUUGCGGUAAGGAACACAUAUUGUAUUGUGUUACUUUGAGUUGCCCAAGAUUUAAUAUUUGUUGAGUUUUUUGCUGGUAUUUUGCUGUUCAUCAAGUCAACGAACACACUGCUUGUUUUAUCUGUUUGAUAUUCCUUGGUUACUAUGGAUAUUGUAUAAUCAAGCAUGCUUAUUAAAGGUAAAAGUAGUGCUGAUGUGGGAGUACAACUUGUGGUCCUUUGACGUUAUCCAGUUAUGCUUGCUUCCAGUGGGAUGUUUUAUGUGAUAGACUUCCCUAAUUUAAGAUUUUAAUGUGUGCCUAACAUACUGUGUUUUGAAUUUGCACAGCUGAAAUGGGAAAGAUGAGCUGAAUGAAUGUUUUUUUUUCUCCUGAUAGGUCUUGACUAAUUCUGGUAAAGAAACAACCUUAGCAACUGAUGCUGCUGCUCCAGCGUUGAAGCGCAUUGAGCGAGCUGGCAUAGCAGCUGCUACUCCUGUCUCUUACCAUUCCAGGUUUGACUUCGUGUGAUAUUUUCCUUUUUAAUUACCUUUCCAGCUUCAGAAUCCUACAUUUGCUCUUCUUUUGUGUGUAGGGAACUGAUGCAACUGAUACAUGAACAUCUCGUUGGAUCUGGUUUGGCUGCUACUGCUGCCAUGUUGCAGAAGGAGGCUGACCUUGCACCUUUGCCAUCAACUGCUGCAGUGCUACCUGUCCACCAGCCCGCUGCCCUGGAACCAUCAUCUGUUCAAGUUCAACAACAGUGGCCUUCUGGCCGUGUUCAGGGAUUUCUGUCCGACAAAACAAUGAUUGCUGCAGAUCAAGCUGGCCAACGAUCAGAUUCUGUUGUGCCUUCGUCUAAGAAGAAGGCACUGGUAUUCUCAUCCAGUUUCUCUAAACGAAAUCAACCCUUUGUUUCGUUUUCUGGUAAUAGAGCAAGCAAUAGCCUGAAAAGUCCUGUACCUGCCGGAAAUGUGGACGGUAUGACUUGCUCUGCCUCUGCUGCCAAUACUGGAGAUGUGGAGACAUCGCAUAAAACACCAAUGCCCUUGCCACUUAAGAGGAAGCUUGCGGAUAUGGAGUUUAGUUCUGCAUCAGCAGCAAAGCGCCCUGCAAUAAUGGAUCAAGCAUCCCAAUCUCCUGUGUUCCAAACUCCUGCUCCUACUCGCAGAGGCCUCUCUGUGGCAGUGGAUUCUCCUACUGCAGCAUUUCAUCCAGGAAGGACAAACUUCAACAACAUUUCCACUGAGAACUUUGAAGAUUCUCAAUGCACACCUGGAGUGGUAACAGGCACACCACAUCUUGGUGUAAAUGAUCAACAACCAGGAACUUCGGAGCGCAUGACGCUCGACUCAUUGGUUGUACAAUAUUUGAAACAUCAACACCGCCAAUGUCCUGCUCCAAUAACAACUUUGCCGCCAGUCUCUCUGCUGCACCCUCAUGUUUGCCCCGAGCCUAGCCGCAGCAUUAGUGCACCAGCAAAUGUAACUGCUCGCAUGGGAAGCCGUGAGAUAAACAGGGAGUUUAGCGGGAUCAAAGUGCCCCGCAGGGAUCGCCAAUUUAUAUACAGCAGGUUCAAGCCAUGCCGUGUUUGCCGUGAUGAGGCCUCGCUGUUGACUUGCAUGACUUUUAUUGGAGGUGCAUCAAGGGUGGCGGCUGGGAACCAUAGUGGUGAAUUAAGAAUAUUUGACAGCAACCUUGCAAAUCUCAUAGAGACGCACACUUGUCACCAAAAUCUUGUUACUAUGGUGGAUUCAACAUCUAUUGGUGGAACUGAGCUGAUUCUCUCAUCUAGCAUAGAUGAGGUUAAGCUCUUUGAUGCUUUCUCACUGCAUACGGGGCCUUUGCACACAUUUGAGAACUGCAAAGCUGCCAGGUUUAACCAUGCUGGGACUUUAUUUGCCGGCCUUUCUACGGAUGCAAAUCACCGGGUGGUUCUAUUGUAUGAUGUCCAGACGCAUAAUGUUGAUAUGCAGCUUCCUGAUAACUCCAGCCUGCCAGGUUCAGGCCGGGGUGUACAACCCAUUAUACAUUUCAGUCCUUCAGAUGAUAUGUUGCUGUGGAACGGGGUCCUGUGGGAUAGACGAAGUCCCACUCCUAUCCAUCAGUUUGACCAGUUCACAGACUAUUGUGGCGGUGGCUUUCAUCCAGCUGGAAACGAGGUAAUCUUUUUCUUUGACUGCAGUAAUUGAUUAUUCUUUCAAUUUAUAUUCCUUCAAACUUGUAUCAGGCAUGCAUUUUUGCCCUCACUAGGCCACCACUUUUCUUGCCAUGACGUUUGUGUCAGUUUGCCGUUCUCAAACCACAACAGUCGUAGAUGGAAAUUAAGUUAUUUUAUUAUGCUCACGAAGUUACAUUUAUGCAUAUAUUUUGGAUGCACUAUUUGUGUUUCUGGGAUUCUACACUAACAAGUUACAGCCGACACAAGUCCAAUCAAGUGUGGUGUGAGAUCUUCUGAGCAAACUUGUUGGCCUUUCCUUAAAACAAUAAAAUUUGCUGUUAAGUUCAACAACAUGACCAGCUGAAGUCUAUUCCAACUCAGCCACUGUGCCAUUUAUACUGCAAGAAUGCCUAAGCAUAGUAAGAGAAGCAUGGUAGUCAGAUAUUUAUCGCCUGUAGGUUUACAUGCACUGAAAAGUGUAAAAAAAUAUGACAUGGCUCGGGAACGACGCAUAAGAGUACUUUCUUAUAGUAUUUGUGUCAAAUAGGAUGUUCAGCAUUUGAUUGCUUAUUCAGAAGUGUAUGACCGUACUUGUUUUGAUGGAAUACUGCUGUGAAUAAAUUUGGUUUCCUGAAUGUCACUGUAAAAUCUUCCUUUACUCUGUUGUUUAGGGGGGAAUUCGUGUCUACUGCACACAUCUUCUCAUCUCUGUCCACAUUGUUUUGCAGGUGAUUCUAAAUUCAGAGGUGUGGGAUCUGAGAAAGUUUAAGCUUCUGAGGAGUGUCCCAUCCCUGGACCAGACAGUAAUCAAAUUCAAUGGAAGUGGUGAUGUUAUCUAUGCUAUCCUCAGGCGUAACCUUGAGGAUGUAACAUCAUCCAUCCAAACCCGGAGGGUCAGACAUCCCCUGUUCCCUGCAUUCCGCACGAUCGAUGCUGUCACUUACGCAGACAUUGCAACUGUCCAAAUAGACCGUGGCGUCCUCGACCUUGCCACUGAGCCCAAUGAUUCCCUUCUCGGAGUUGUUGCCAUGGACGAUCCUGACGAGAUGUUCUCCUCUGCUCGCAUAUUCGAAGUUGGCAGGAAACGACCAACUGAUGAUGACUCGGACCCGGAGGAUGGAGGGGACACGGAGGAUGAGGAUGAUGACGACGACGACUCGGACGUGGAUGUCCUCCUCGGGACCGAUUUAGGGCUUGGGGACACGGAUUCUGAGGAUGAUCCAAGUAACAGCAGCGGUGAUGAUGGCGGUGACGAUGAAGACGAGGAGGAUAUGGACAGUGGGGAUGAAAACGAUGACGACGAUGAGGAAGGUGACUUUGAUGUGGGAGGGGGCUUGCUGGAGAUGAUGGGUGGCGGGGAUGGUGAUGAGAGUGGUGACAUGAUUGAGUCCUUCAGCAGCGGUGAGGAUGAAGGGUGGCUCAUGUGAGAGCAGAUGAUGAUUCUCUUUUCUUUCUACGCAUGGUCGCAUCGCGGUGGCGAGGGCGUCGUGUGGGGAUUCAGGAGGCGAAGGAGGCAAGGCAAGGCUAGGAGCUGGACGAGAAACGGCGUCUUUGGGUCACCGACAGGGCGCAAACAACAAAUGCAAAUCUGUAUGCUCAGAUUACAGUUGUAAAUUAUUGCCUUGUUGGGAGAAAGUUUACGUUACGUGGGUUGGGAGUAGUAGCUGUUGUUACCUGUGAGAGCGCAACGCAAGUCUGAGGCAUUAGGUGUUGUAUGUAAAAGCAAGCUGGUAAUUUUUCGCUGUUUCUCAUCAGUUGAAAAUUUUGGAAAUAUCAUGUGUUGAUGCUGUGCUGUCUGAAGAGUUCUGUUCCUUUUUACUGUUUACUUGGGUUGUUUCAUUUCAUGGCAAUUGUUCUGAGACGCUUUUUAUAAUUGCUGCACACCAAGUGACUUCAAAAGCUCUUGACCCAGAGCCAGAGCCAUACUUGAUUUUUAUAUGGUGUUUGUUACUAGGAGCAUUAUUAUCUACAUGUAUGUAUGUACCAGAGCCAGAGCCAUACUUGAUUUUUAUACGGUCAUCAGUCCAGUGGGCUGCUGCCACCCAAAUCCUUUCUUUACAAUCUCUCUACCUUCAAACAACACAGAAAGGGAUUCAAAAUAUCUAUUAAAAACUGUAGAAAGGAAUGUCGGUACAACCCAACAAGUAAAUAAAUGUACUGAAAGCUGAUACAUGCACACACAAACACAAUGCUUUAGUUUAAAAGAAAGAAAAGCGAGACACUUUGCACAAGCAUCAGGUUCUUCGCAGCUGACGAAGACCUGAAAGCGGGUGAACAGAACACUCAACAAUUUUUUGAAGACAAACAUUCUUUUUGAAAUGCAUGAACAUUUUUCAAAUUUGUGAACAUAUUUUGAAUCAACAAACAAUUUUUGAAGCGGUGAAAUUUUUUGCAUUUUUUGGAACAUUUUUGAAUUUUGUGAAUAUCUUUUUACCGUUCAUGAAUAUUUUUUAAAUUCAUGAACAUUUGUUCAAAUUCACAAACAUUUUUUUGAAUCCACGAACAAUUUAUGAUUUCCCAAACAGUUUUCAGAAUCAUGAACAAUUUUUUAAUUCAGAAACAUUUUAAAAUAUCUUGAUUUUUUUAGAAUUCAAAUUAUUUUGAAAUUUGGAACUUUUUUAGUCCCUAAUUAUUUUAAAAUCAUAUCUGAAAAUAGAGAAAGGAUUUUUUAAAGAAAGUAUGAAAAAACCAAAAAUAAAACCACACACAGAAAAAUAAAAAUAAAAGCCAAAGCGAAAAAAUGGAACAAAAAUCCCCAAAAGAAAACAUAUCUACCGAAUGGGCCGGCCCAUUUGGUUGCGGCAUGAGAGAAGCCUCGCUUGGAAAAUAGGGUUGGCCAGUCCUAGCGACCCAAUGGGUCGAGGCCUGAUCCGCGCUACAAUGUACGCCCCGGAUUGGAGUAAGUUAUCGGCUGCCUUCACUAAGGGCAUGUACAAUGGUUGAUAAGAUAGUCUUAUCUUAAGUCUUGCAUGUAAGUUAGAGAUGACAAAAAAACAUGUCUACACUAGGUCAUCUCUUAGCUUUCUCUUAAAUAAGAGAAGACAAGCCUUUUCUUAUGAUUUCUCUCUCCUCCCCCUCGUUAUUUAUCCUACAGGAUACCGGAGGAAUACCUUCUGUGCUAUCAAACGUCACAACGUAACUGGGUGAUUAUAAAGAUGCUCUACAGGUAUCCCCGAAGGUGUUUGUUGGGUUGGCAUAGAUCAAGAUUAGGAUUUGUCACUCCGAGUAUCGGAGAGGUAUCUCUGGGCCCUCUCGGUAAUGCACAUCAUAAGAAGCCUUGCAAGCAAUGUGACUAAUGAGUUAGUUGCGGGAUGAUGUAUUACGAAACGAGUAAAGAGACUUUUCGGUAACGAGAUUGAACUAGGUAUGAAGAUACCGACGAUCGAAUCUUGGGCAAGUAACAUACCGAUGACAUAGGGAAUAACGUAUGUUGUCAUUACGGUACGACCGAUAAAGAUCUUCGUAGAAUAUGUAGGAACCAACAUGAGCAUCCAGGUUCCGCUAUUGGUUAUUGACUGGAGAGGUGUCUCAGUCAUGUCUACAUAGUUCUCGAACCCGUAGGGCCCGCACGCUUAACGUUCGAUAACGAUUUUGUAUUAUAUGAGUUAUGUGAUUUGGUGACCGAAUGUUGUUCAGAGUCCCGGAUGAGAUGACGGACAUGGCGAGGAGUCUCGAAAUGGUCGAGAGGUAAAGAUUGAUAUAUAUAGGACGAUGGUAUUGGGACACCAGAAGUGUUCCGCAGGGUACCAGGUACAUAUCGGGUCACCGGAAGGGGUUCCGGGCAACCCCGACAAAGAUAUGGGCCUUAUUGGGCCAAGAGAGGGACAGACCAGCCCACAAGGGGCUGGUGCGCCCCCAUAUAGGCCGAAUUAGGAGGAGAAUGAAAGGAGGGAAGGGAGAAGGAAAGGGGAGGAUUCGGCCUCCCCCUUUCCUUCCCUCCCCCUCUCUUUCCUCCCCCCUCCGAUACUUAUGGAAGGAGGGAGGCCGACUUGGAGGAGGCACCCAAGUAGGAUCCCUCCUACUUGGGGUGCCCCUUGCUGCUCCCCUCCCUCUCCCACCUAUAUAUAUGUGGGCGGGGGGCACCGCUAGAACACACAACAUUGAUUCCUAGCCGUGUGCGGCGCCCCCCCUCCACAGUUAACGCCUCCGGUCAUAUAUUUGUAGUGCUUAGGCGAAGCCCUGCGCGGAUCACUUUGAAGGAAAUAUGCCCUAGAGGCAAUAAUAAAGUUGUUGUUUAUAUUUCCUUAUAUCAUGAUAAAUGUUUAUUAUUCAUGCUAGAAUUGUAUUAACCGAAAACUUAGUACAUGUGUGAAUACAUAGACAAACAGAGUGUCACUAGUAUGCCUCUACUUGACUAGCUCGUUAAUCAAAGAUGGUUAAGUUUCCUAGCCAUAGACAUGAGUUGUCAAUUGAUGAUCGGGAUCACAUCAUUAGAGAAUGAUGUGAUUGACAAGACCCAUCUGUUAGCUUAGCACUAUGAUCGUUUAGUUUGUUGCUAUUGCUUUCUUCAUGACUUAUACAUGUUCCUAUGACUAUGAGAUUAUGCAACUCCCGAAUACCGGAGGAACACUUAGUGUGCUAUCAAACGUCACAAUGUAACUGGGUGAUUAUAAAGAUGCUCUAUAGGUGUCUCCGAUGGUGUUUGUUGAAUUGGCAUAGAUCGAGAUUAGGAUUUAUCACUCCGAUUGUCGGAGAGGUAUCUCUGGGCCCUCUCGGUAAUGCACAUCACUAUAAGCCUUGCAAGCAAUGUGACUAAUGAGUUAGUUGCUGGAUGAUGCAUUACGGAACGAGUAAAGAGACUUGCCGGUAACGAGAUUGAACUAGGUAUGAUGAUACCGAUGAUCGAAUCUCGGGCAAGUAACAUAUCAAUGACAAAGGGAACAACCUAUGUUGUUAUACGGUUUGACCGAUAAACAUCUUCAUAAAAUAUGUGGGAGCCAAUAUGAGCAUCCAGGUUCCGCUAUUGGUUAUUGAUCGGAGAUGAGUCUCGGUCAUGUCUACAUAGUUCUCGAACCCGUAGGGUCCGCACGCUUAACUCAAUGACGAUCGGUAUUAUGAGUGUAUGUGUUUUGAUCUACCGAAGGUAGUUCGGAGUCCCGGAUGUGAUCACGGACAUGACAAGGAGUCUCGAAAUGGUCGAGACAUAAAGAUUGUUAUAAUGGAAGACUAUAUUCGGGCAUCGGAAUAGUUCCGAGGUGUAUCGGGUAUUUUCCGGAGUACCGAGGGGUUACCGGAACCCCUCAGUGGGUUAUUGGGCCUCAUGGGCCUAGUAGUGGAAGAGAGGAGGCAGCAGCCAGGGAGGCGCGCGCCCCCCAAGCCCAAACCGAAUUGGACUAGGGGUUGGGGGGCGGCCCCCCUUUCCUUUCUCUCCUCCUCCUCUUUCCCCCUUCUCCUAGUAGGAAUAGGAAGGGGGGGGGGAAUCCUACUUGGAGUAGGACUCCCCCCCUUGGGAGCGCCUCUUCCUGGCCGGCCUCCUCCUCCCUCCCUCCUUUAUAUACGUGGGAGUGGGGCACCCCAAAGACACACUCAAGAUUUGUCUUAGCUGUGUGCCCCCCUCCACAGUUACACACCUCGGUCAUAUCAUCGUAGUGCAUAGGCGAAGCCCUGCGCCGGUAACUUCAUCAUCACCGUCACCACGCCGUCGUGCUGACGGAACUCUCCCUCGGCCUCAACUGGAUCAAGAGUACGAGGGACGUCAUCAAGCUGAACGUGUGCUGAACACGGAGGUGCCGUACGUUCUGUGCUAGGAUCGGUCGGAUCGUGAAGACGUACGACUACAUCAACCGCGUUGAUAAACGCUUCCGCUUUCGGUCUACGAGUGUACGUGGACACACUCUCCCCGCUAGUUGCUCUGCUUCUCCUAGAUAGAUCUUGCGUGAUCGUAGGAAUGUUUUGAAAUACUACGUUCCCAACAAUGGCAUCCGAGCCAGGUCUAUGCGUAGAUGUUAUAUGCACGAGUAGAACACAAAGAGUUGUGGGCGAUAAUAGUCAUACUGCUUACCAGCAUGUCAAAUUUGAUUCGGCGGUAUUGUUGGAUGAAGCGGUCCAGACCGACAUUACAUGACCGCGUUCAUGAGACUGGUUCUACCGCCGUGCUUCGCACACAGGUGGCUAGUGGGUGUCUGUUUCCCCAACUUUAGUUGAAUCGAGUGUGAGUACGCCCGGUCCUUGUUGAAGGUUAAAACAACACACUUGACGAAAAAUUGUUGUUGUAUUGAUGCGUAGGUAAGAACGGUUCUUGCUAAGCCCGUAGCAGCCACGUAAAACUUGCAACAACAAAGUAGAGGACGUCUAACUUGUUUUUGCAGGUCAUGUUGUGAUGUGAUAUGGUCAAGAUGUGAUGAGAUAUAAAUUGUUGUAUGAGAUGAUCAUGUUUUGUUAAAGUUAUUAGCAACUGGCAGGAGCCUUAUGGUUGUCGCUUUAUUGCAUAAGAUGCAAGUGCCAUAUAGUUGCUUUACUUUAUCGCUAUGCGAUAGCAAUAGUUGCAAAAGCAAUAGUCGGCGAGACGACCAUGUGACGACACGUUGAUAAAGAUCAAUAUGAUGGAGAUCAUGGUUUCAUGCCGGUGAUGAUGGAGAUCAUAAUGGUACUUUGGAGAUGGAGAUCAAAGGCACAAGAUGAUGAUGGCCAUAUCAUGUCACAUAUUUUGAUUGCAUGUGAUGUUUAUCCUUUAUGCAUCUUAUUUUGCUUAGUACGACAGUAGCAUUAUGAGAUUUCUAAAAUUUCAAGGUAGAAGUGUUCUCCCUGAGUAUGCACCGUUGCGACAGUUCUUCGUGCUGAGACACCACGUGAUGAUCGGGUGUGAUAAGCUCUACGUUCACAUAAAACGGGUGCAAGCCAGUUUUUCACACGCAGAAUACUCGGUUUAAACUUGUCGAGCCUAGCAUAUGCAGAUAUGGCCUCGGAACACUAGAGACCGAAAGGUCGAACGUGAAUCAUAUAGUAGAUAUGCAGAAUACUCGGUUUAAACUUGUCGAGCCUAGCAUAUGCAGAUAUGGCCUCGGAACACUAGAGACCGAAAGGUCGAACGUGAAUCAUAUAGUAGAUAUGAAUAUAUGAUAAACAUAGUGAUGUUCACCAUUGAAAACUACUCCAUCUCACGUGAUGAUCGGACAUGGUUUAGUUGAUAUGGAUCACGUGGUCAUUAGAUGACUCGAGGGAUGUCUAUGUAAGUGGGAGUUCUUAAGUAAUAUGAUUAAUUGAACUUUAAUUUAUCAUGAACUUAGUCCUGAUAGUAUUGCAUAACUAUGUUGUAGAUCAAUAGCUCGCGAUGUAGCUCCCCGUUUAUUUUUGAUAUGUUCCUAGAGAAAAAUAAGUUGAAAGAUGAUAGUAGCAAUGAUGCGGACUUGGUCCGUGAUGUGAGGAUUAUCCUCAUUGCCGCACAGAAGAAUUAUGUCCUUGAUGCACCGCUAGGUGAUAGACCUAUUGCAGGAGCAGAUGCAGACUUAUGAAUGUUUGACAAGCUCGGUAGGUAAGAACGGUUCUUGCUCAGCCCGUAGCAGCCACGUAAAACUUGCAACAACAAAGUAGAGGACGUCUAACUUGUUUUUGCAUAAGAUGUGAUGAGAUAUAAAUUGUUGUAUAAGAUGAUCAUCUUUUGUUAAAGUUAUCGGCAACUUGCAGAAGCCUUAUGGUUGUCUCUUUGUUGCAUACGAUGCAAGAACCAUAUAAUUGCUUUACUUUAUCGCUAUGCGAUAGCAAUAGUUGCAAAAGCAAUAGUUGGCGAGACGACCAUGUGACGACACGUUGAUAGAGAUCAAGAUGAUGGAGAUCAUGGUGUCAUGCCGGUGACGAUGGAGAUCAUGAUAGUACUUUGGGGAUGGAGAUCAAAGGCACAAGAUGAUGAUGGCCAUAUCAUGUCACAUAUUUUGAUUGCAUGCGAUGUUUAUCUUUUAUGCAUCUUAUUUUGCUUAGUACGACGGUAGCAUUAUGAGAUGAUCCCUCACUAAAAUUUCAAGGUAUAAGUGUUGUCCCUGAGUAUGCACCGUUGCGACAGUUCUUCGUGCUGAGACACCACGUGAUGAUCGGGUGUGAUAAGCUCUACGUUCACAUACAACGGGUGCAAGUCAGUUUUGCACAAGCAGAAUACUUAGGUUAAACUUGACGAGCCUAGCAUAUGCAGAUAUGGCCUCGGAACACUGAGACCGAAAGGUCGAGCGUGAAUCAUAUAAUAGAUAUGAUCAACAUAGUGAUGUUCACCAUGAAAAACUACUCCAUCUCACAUGAUGAUCAGACAUGGUUUAGUUGAUAUGGAUCACGUGAUCACUUAGAUGAUUAGAGGGAUGUCUAUCUAAGUGGGAGUUCUUAAGUAAUAUGAUUAAUUAAACUUUAAUUUAUGAUGAACUUAGUCCUGAUAGUAUUUGCAUAACUAUGUUGUAGAUCAAUAGCUCGCGAUGUAGCUCCCCGUUUAUUUUUGAUAUGUUCCUAGAGAAAAAUAAGUUGAAAGAUGUUAGUAGCAAUGAUGCGGACUAGCUCCGUGAUCUGAGGAUUAUCCUCAAUGUUGCACAGAAGUAUUAUGUCCUUGAUGCACCACUAGGUGACAGAACUGUUGCAGGAGCAGAUGCAGACGUUAUGAACGUUUCACAAGCUCGGUAUGAUGACUACUUGAUAGUUCAGUGCACCAUGCUUUACGGCUUAGAACCGGGACUUCAAAAAUGUUUUGAACGACAUGGAGCAUAUGAGAUGUUCCGAGAGUUGAAAUUGGUAUUUCAGACUCAUGCCCGUGUUAAUAGGUAUGAGACCUCUGACAAAAUACUUUGCCUACAAGAUGGAGGAGAAUAGCUCACCUACUGAGCAUGUGCUCAGAAUGUCUGAGCACUACAAUCACUUGAAUCAAGUGGGAGUUAAUCUUCCAGAUAAGAUAGUGAUUGACAGAAUUCUCUAGUCACUAUCACCAAGUUACUAGAACUUCGUGAUGAACUAUAAUAUGCAAGGGAUAACGGAAACAAUUCCCAAGCUCUUCGCGAUGCUAAAAUCGGCGAAGGUAGAAAUCAAGAAAAAGCAUCAAGUGUUGAUGGUUAACAAAACCACUAGUUUCAAGAAAAGAGCAAAGGUAAAGAAAGGGAACUUCAAGAAGAAUGGCAAGCAAGUUGCCACUCCCAUGAAGAAGCCCAAAGCUAGACCCAAGCCUGAAACUGAGUGCUUCUAACUGCAAAGGAAAUGAUCAAUGGAAGUGGAACUGCCUUAGAUACUUGGCAGAUAAGAAGGAUGUCAAAGUGAACAAAGGUAUAUUUGAUAUACAUGUUAUUGAUGUGUAUUUUACUAGUGUUUAUAAGCAACCCCUCGGUAUUUGAUACUGGUUCAGUUGCUAAGAGUAGUAACUCGAAACGGGAGUUGCAAAAUAAACAGAGACUAGUUGAGGGCGAGGUGACGAUGUGUGUUGGAAAUGAUUCCAAGGUUGAUAAGAUCACCAUCGCAUACUCACUUUACCUUCGGGAUUAGUGUUGAACCUAAAAUAAAUGUUAUUUGGUGUUUGUGUUGAGCAGGAAUAUGAUUGGAUCAUGUUUAUUGCAAUACGGUUAUCCAUUUAAGUUAAAGAAUAAUUGUUGUUCUAUUUACAUGAAUAAAACCUUCUAUGGUCAUACACUCGAUAUAAAUGGUUUAUUGAAUCUCGAUCGUAGUGAUACACAUAUUCAUAAAUAUUGAAGCCAAAAGAUGCAAAGUUAAUAAUGAGUGCAACUUAUUUGUGGCACUGCCGUUUAGGUCAUAUUGGUGUAAAGCGCAUGAAGAAACUCCAUGCUGAUGGGCUUUUGGAAUCACUUGAUUAUGAAUCACUUGAUGCUUGUGAACCAUGCCUCAUGGGAAAGAUGACUAAGACUCCGUUCUCCGGAACAAUGGAGCAAGCAACUGACUUAUCGGAAAUAAUACAUACUGAUGUAUACGGUCCGAUGAGUGUUGAGGCUCACGGAGGGUAUCGUUAUUUUCUGACCUUCACAGAUGAUUUGAGCAGAUAUGGGUGCAUCUACUUGAUGAAACAUAAGUCUGAAACAUUUGAAAAGUUCAAAGAAUUUCAGAGUGAAGUGGAAAAUCAUCGUAACAAGAAAAUAAAGUUUCUACGAUCUGAUCGUGGAGACAAAUAUUUGAGUUACGAGUUUGGUCUUCAUUUGAAACAAUGUGGAAUAGUUUCGCAACUCACGCCACCUGGAACACCACAGCGUAAUGGUGUGUCCGAACGUUAUAACUGUACUUUAUUAGAUAUGGUGCGAUCUAUGAUGUCUCUUACCGAUUUAUCACUAUCGUUUUGGGGUUAUGCAUUAGAGACAGCUCCAUUCACGUUAAAUAGGGCACCAUCUAAAUCCGUUGAGACGACACCAUAUGAACUGUGGUUUGGCAAGAAACCUAAGCUGUCGUUUCUUAAAGUUUGGGGCUGCGAUGCUUAUGUGAAAAAGCUUCAACCUGAUAAGCUCAAACCCAAAUCGGAGAAAUGCGUAUUCAUAGGAUACCCAAAGGAGACUCUUGGGUACACCUUCUAUCAUAGAUCCGAAAGCAAGAUAUUCGUUGCUUAGAAUGGAUCCUUUCUAGAGAAGGAGUUUCUCUCGAAAGAAGUGAGUGGGAGGAAAAUAGAACUUGAUGAGGUAAUUGUACCUUCUCUGGAGUUGGAAAGUAGUUCAUCGCAGAAAUCAGUUCCGGCGAUGCCUACACCAAUUAGUGAGGAAGCUAAUGAUGAUGAUCAUGAAACUUCAGAUCAAGUUACUACCGAACCUCGUAGGUCAACCAGAGUAAGGUCCACAUCAGAGUGGUACGGCAAUCCUGUUCUGGAGGUCAUGUUACUUGACCAUGACGAACCUACGAACUAUGAGGAAGCGAUGAUGAGCCCAGAUUCCGCAAAAUGGCUUGAGGCCAUGAAAUCUGAGAUAGCAUCCAUGUAUGAGAACAAAGUAUGGACUUUGCUGGUUGACUUGCCCGAUGAUCGGCAAGCCAUAGAGAAUAAAAUGGAUCUUCAAAAGGAAGACGGACGCUGAUAGUAGUGUUACUAUCUACAAAGCUUGAAUUGUCGCAAAAAUGUUUUCGACAAGUUCAAGGUGUUGACUACGAUGAGAUUUUCUCCCUUGUAUCUAUGCUUAAAAGUCUGUCCGAAUCAUGUUAGCAAUUGCCGCAUUUUAUGAAAUUUGGCAAAUGGAUGUCAAACCUGCAUUCCUUAAUGCAUUUCUUAAAGAAGAGUUGUAUAUGAUGCAACCAGAAGUUUUUGUCGAUCCUAAAGGUGCUAACAAAAUGAGCAAGCUCCAGCGAUCCAUCUAUGGACUGGUGCAGGCAUCUCGGAGUUGGAAUAUACACUUUGAUGAGUUGAUCAAAGUAUAUAGUUUUAUACGGACUUGUGGUGAAGCCUGUAUUUACAAGAAAGUGAGUGGGAGCACUACAACUUUUCUGAUAAGUAUAUGUGAAUGACAUAUUGUUGAUCGGAAAUAAUGUAAAAUUUUCUGGAAAGCAUAAAGGAGUAUUUGAAAGGAGUUUUUCAAAGAAAGACCUCGGUGAAGCUGCUUACAUAUUGAGCAUCAAGAUCUAUAGAGAUAGAUCAAGAUGCUUGAUAAGUUUUUUGAAUGAGUACAUACCUUGACAAGAUUUUGAAGUAGUUCAAAAUGGAACAGUCAAAGAAGGAGUUCUUACCUGUGUUGCAAGGUGUGAAGUUGAGUAAGACUCAAAGCCCGACCACGGCAGAAGAUAGAGAGAGAAUGAAAGUCAUUCCCUAUGCCUUAGCCAGAGGUUCUAUAAGGUAUGCCAUGCUGUGUACCAGACCUAUUGUAUACCCUGCCCUGAGUUUGGCAAGGGAGUACAAUAGUGAUCUAGGAGUAGAUCACUAGACAUUGGUCAAAAUUAUCCUUAGAGGACUAAGGAAAUAUUUCUCGGUUAUGGAGGUGAUAAAGAGUUCGUCGUAAAGAGUUACGUCGAUGCAAGCUUUGACACCGAUCUGGAUGACUCCGAGUCUCGAUCUGGAUACAUAUUGAAAGUGGGAGCAUUUAGCUAGAGUAGCUCCGUGCAGAGCAUUGUAGACAUAGAAAUUUGCAAAAUACAUAUGGAUCUGAAUGUGGCAGACCCGUUGACUAAACUUCUCUCACAAGCAAAACAUGAUCACACCUUAGUACUCUUUGGGUGUUAAUCACAUAGCGAUGUGAACUAGAUUAUUGACUCUAGUAAACCCUUUGGGUAUUGGUCACAUGGCGUUGUGAACUAUAGAGUGUUAAAUCACAUGACGAUGUGAACUAUUGGUGUUAAAUCACAUGGCGAUGUGAACUAGAUUAUUGACUCUAGUGCAAGUGGGAGACUGAAGGAAAUAUACCCUAGAGGCAAUACUAAAGUUGUUAUUUAUAUUUCCUUAUAUCAUGAUAAAUGUUUAUUAUUCAUGCUAGAAUUGUAUUAACCAGAAACUUAGUACAUGUGUGAAUACAUAGACAAACAGAGUGUCACUAGUAUGCCUGUAGUUGACUAGCUCGUUAAUCAAAGAUGGUUAAGUUUCCUAGCCAUAGACAUGAGUUGUCAUUUGAUGAAAGGGAUCACAUCAUUAGAGAAUGAUGUGAUUGACAAGACCCAUCCGUUAGCUUAGCACUAUAAUCGUUUAGUUUGUUGCUAUUGCUUUCUUCAUGACUUAUACAUGUUCCUAUGACUAUGAGAUUAUGCAACUCCCGAAUACCGGAGGAACACUUAGUGUGCUAUUAAACGUCACAACGUAACUGGGUGAUUAUAAAGAUGCUCUACAGGUGUCUCCGAUGGUGUUUGUUGAGUUGGCCUAGAUCGAGAUUAGGAUUUGUCACUCCGAUUGUCGGAGAGGUAUCUCUGGGCCCUCUCGGUAAUGCACAUCACUAUAAGCCUUGCAAGCAGUGUGACUAAUGAGUUAGUUGCGGGAUGUUGCAUUACAGAACGAGUAAAGAGACUUGCCGGUAACGAGAUUGAACUAGGUAUGAUGUACCGACGAUCGAAUCUCGGGCAAGUAACAUACCGAUGACAAAGGGAAUAACGUAUGUUGUUAUGCGGUUUGACGGAUAAAGAUCUUCGUAAAAUAUGUGGGAGCCAAUAUGAGCAUCCAGGUUCCACUAUUGGUUAUUGACCGGAGAUGAGUCUCGGUCAUGUCUACAUAGUUCUCGAACCCAUAGGGUCCACACGCUUAACGUUCGAUGACGAUCGGUAUUAUGAGUGUAUGUGUUUUGAUGUACCGAAGGUAGUUUGGAGUCUUGGAUGAGAUCACAGACAUGACGAGGAGUCUCGAAAUGGUCGAGACAUAAACAUUGAUAUAUUGAAAGACUAUAUUCGGACACCGGAAUAGUUCCGAGGUGUAUCGGGUAUUUUUCGGAGUACCGGGUGGUUACCGGAACCCCCCGUGGGGUUAUUGGGCCUCAUGGGCCUAGUAGUGGAAGAGAGGAGGCAGCAGCCAGGGAGGCGCGCGCCCCCCAAGCCCAAACCGAAUUGGACUAGGGGUUGGGGGGCGCCCCCCUUUCCUUUCUCUCCUCCUCCUCUUUCCCCCUUCUCCUAGUAGGAAUAGGAAGGGGGGCGGGGGCGAAUCCUACUUGGAGUAGGACUCCCCCGCCUUGGGCGCGCCUCCUCCUGGCCGGCCUCCUCCUCCCUCCCUCCUUUAUAUACGUGGGAGGGGGGCACCCCAAAGACACACUCAAGAUUUGUCUUAGCCGUGUGCGGUGCCCCCCUCCACAGUUACACACCUCGGUCAUAUCGUCGUAGUGCUUAGGCGAAGCCCUGCGCCGGUAACUUCAUCAUCACCGUCACCACGCCGUCGUGCUGACGGAACUCUCCCUCGGCCUCAACUGGAUCAAGAGUACGAGGGACGUCAUUAAGCUGAACGUGUGCUAAACACGGAGGUGCCGUACGUUCGGUGCUAGGAUCGGUCGGAUCGUGAAGACGUACGACUACAUCAACCGCGUUGAUAAACGCUUCCACUUUACGUGGACACACUCUCCCCGCUCGUUGCUAUGCUUCUCCUAGAUAGAUCUUGCGUGAUCGUAUGAAUUUUUUGAAAUACUACGUUCCCAACACACUUCACCAUCAUUGUCACCACGCCGUCGUGUUGACGGAACUCUCUCUCGACACUUUGCUGGAUCAAGAGUUGGAGGGACGUCAUCGAGCUGAACGUGUGCAGAACUCGGAGGUGCAGUACGUUCGGUGCUUGAUCGGUCGGAACGAGAAGAAGUUUGACUACAUCAACCGCGUUGUCAAACGCUUCCGCUUUCGGUCUACGAGGGUACGUGGACACACUCUCCCCCUCUCGUUGCUAUGCAUCUCCUAGAUAGAUCUUGCGUGAGUGUAUAAUUUUUUUGAAAUUGCAUUCUAUGUUUCCCAACACAAGGUUGUAAGAUGAACUUCUCUCUCAAAGUCCAAUGAUGCAAAAAUCUUUUUCUCUUGCAUAAGUAACAGUAGCAAAACCAAAUAUUGAAUCAUGACGUGCCAUGAGAGAAAGCAUGACUUGGUUAGGAGCACCUAAGAAGGACCAGGAUGUGCCCGCCCACAGGUUGAAACCGUGAACCUUAAUUUUGGGAGAGAAUUCCUUAUUUAACAUUAUUCUAAAAUUUGUUUCCUUAUUUGACACGGAAAAACUUUUCCUGGCUUAUCUAACACCGAGUCUAAAUGACACCUGAAAAGACCUAUUUGUCCCUCAUGUAUGGGAUCAAAAUCUCUGCUAUCAAAGGGCAGUACGUAGGUUGUUUCGUUCAUUCAUGAGCAUCUUGUCGCCGAGAACUCAGUUGCGGGGAAUGUAUAGCUGACCAACCGUGGAUCUGCGACGCUUUCUCUCCAGGCCCUUCUCAAAUUUGUCCACGAGAUGCAACAACAUUAGGUUGUCGACAUCGUCGUGCAAGAUCAUCUCUUCUAUGUUUGAAUCAUCCGACAAAGACGAUGACGAAGACAAACUCCAAUCCAUCUAAAAAGAUGCCCGACCAUGAAUUUCUCGCGGUCAACAUUGAAUUAAAAUAUUCGGCAAGCAUUGAACAUACCUUCUGCCGAAGCAAAGUCGGGCGCCCCUUUCUUCUCUUCGUCAGCCGAAGCAAAGCCGGCCGCCCCUUUCUUCUUCCCCUCUGGCCAAAACCCCUUCUUCCGUUGCACGCGGCUGUCCCUCGAGCGAUUUCAAGGCUCACCGGUGCCGGAAACAACCAGAUCCGCCGGCUACAAGCCCGCGCGCCAAGCUCCGGGGUGGAUCCAUGGCGCCGGUGAUGGCCACUAGCCUGCGGACACAAAUGGGCACCCCUGGUCACCAAAUUUGGUGGAAUUUAUGUGGCGUGGGGUGGUGGAUCUAAUGGACAGCGCGGGGCAGCAUGGGGCACCAAGAACUGGCUGGGAGAUGCGGCGGUGGCGGCGGGGAGUGAAGCGGGAACGGAAGCGGGCGGAAAUGGCCUUCACGCCAAGGAAAAAGGAUCCGGCAAAAUAGUGGUGAAUCCUGUAGGUAUGGCGGAAACGACACGAAGUAUGCAGGAUCACGCAAAAAAAAAUUUGGGACGACCGAUUUUGCGGCAUCUAUUCGGGCUGGAAAAAUCGCCCACAUCCCGUAAACCGGCGGUUUUUAUUCCGGAUGGCCCGGUUUAUGGGAUAUGCUAGAGAUGCUCUUAGACCGCUCGUAUGUGGGGGUGAAUAUUUGGGAUAUGCUAGAGAUGCUACGAAACUGAAAUUUUGAAGGAUAAUAAAUUUCAAAAAAGUUUGUGGAUGUUCAAAGGUAACUGUGUACAACCUUUGAAAUAUUAAACUCUAAACAUGAAUAGUGUCACAAGAAGACAAGAGACAAUCCCUACAUUUUGGUACCCUCUAGGUUGAGUUUUGUGGUACCUUUCAGGAAAUGUAGCAAGGAUGAUGAGUCCCUGCCCAGCUAGCUAGUACCUCGCUAUUCCUAGUUGAUACUCUUCAGCAAGUUUUCACUUCGAUUGUAAGAUGAGAUGUGCUAGGAAGGGAGAAAUCCUAUAAAUUCUAACAAAAAAUAAAAUAAAUCCAAUUAGAAAUUUAGUGGGCCUGGCGUAACCAUCCUUGACAACAAGUCAUUUGAAGUAACAUCUGUAUAUAGCUAGGUGUUAGGAGUAUUUAGCUAUUAUAUGUACCAACCCCUCAGAAAAGAAAAGAAAAAACUAUGUAUGUACCAGAGCCAUACUUGCUAUAGACAUGUCUGACCAUACAUGCUAGUAGUCCCUCCUUCAAGGUUUUGAGGAGGCCCAUUCAGUCAAGCCCAUCUGGUUAAUACAAUUUUUCCCAAUCAUGUUGUAUACAUGCACAAAGGUCUGGAGCAGUCUUAAACAUUCAAUCCAGUCGGCUGCUGGUUACUACAGUAUGCCACCAAAAUCUUUUUCUACAACCUCUCUAGAGUUUUCAACUUCAAACAACAGAAACAAGUGGAUUGAAAAUAACAUACCUUAACCAGUUAGUAAAACUCUAGAAAGAAAUGUCGCUACAACCGAACAAGUAAAUAAAUGUACAGAAAGCAAAUGGUUGCUAUUUGUUUCUGGAAAAAAGGUGGUCUCCUUUAUUAAAACAUCAAGCUCAUACAUGCACACACCAACAUGAUGAUAUACUGUAGUAACCAGCAGCCGACGAAGGAAAAAAAAAUCUCUUUAGCUUCAUGGCGAGACACUUUAUACAAGUACCAGGUUCUUCGCCGCCGAUGAAGAGGUGGACUCCGAAAUGAUGUCUCUACGGCCACCACCUCAACUGUUAAAGUGCCUAAGCUCAGCAUUCUUAUCUUAAAUCGGCAAAACUGACACCAUAUGUAAGAAAGAUGAACCAAAAACAAAGCGCGUAUUUAUCUUGCUCCAGGACUGCACACCUUCAAGUCGACCGUUUCUACGCAAAACAAAAAGCAGCAAGCAAAUUAAACUCCAGCCAAUACUCCCACCACAUGACCAAAGGUUCUUUCUUCCAUCAUAGCUUGCAGCACCAAGGUAACAAUCAGAUGCAAAUUUGUGCUAAUUGACUGCCAUAAUACACACAGUUACAUAUGCAAUCAUGGCCCCGAUGAAAACAUGGUGACACAAGCAGCAGGAUCAACCGAGUGCUACAAGCAACAAGUAAUACUCAAGAGUUUGCAUUCUGAACAACCAGCCUUGCAAGGAGAGAUCCAGACUAACCAUAACAUUUCCGCAACUAAAAAUGCAGUAACUAACAUCUAAGGAAAUGCUAGAGUGCGACUCUGUCAGCCAAAAGCAAUAACUGAAAAAAAAGACAAGCUCUGGGCCCAAUGGCAAAGAAAGCCAGGGAAGGAGUCUUUGAACCUUCAGAGACACCCCGUGGAGAACGGAAGUCUCCUCUUCUGCUUGCAUCUCAAGGGACGGAAUUGGAAUAAUGCUCUCUUGGAAGCGGCGGGGAGUAAGCGACAUACAGUAUUGACUCUCUCCAAUCUUCACCAAACCUAAGACCUUGCCAUCAGUGCCGCAACGCAACACAUGCUUACUGUUAAACAUGAUCAGCAGCUCACGCUCGUUAAGCGCAACCAUAUCAUUGAACCAUCGCACUUUUGAAUGAAGUGGUGUUUUCUUUUUCCUUUUGCAAGAGGUCAGCUAAAGUUGCCGUGAUGCGUCGACCGUUGCCAGGUCAAUCCGGUGCUUGAAAUCCCAGAUUCCAGCCUUGUAGUCCUGCAUCACCCAAAUAUCCAAAGCGGUGAAACUCAAACAACCAUCUGCAUCACCCUCGAUUGAGCUGCCCCAGAAACCAAGUGUCCCAUUCAUAUCGAACAAGCUCCUAUUAGGGUACAGCUGGUCAGGACUGCACAUCCACCGGAAUAGCUCCGCUUCUGUGUCGAACACAACAAUGUCUCCGCUGCCUCCAGUAAUGUCGGCGACACCGCAAACAGAAAAAGGACACCAGUGCAGGCUGCCACGGUGGUGAACUGCUGGUGGACAAUGGUUCAAAUAGCGCAACACGCUCAUUAACUUAUGUUUCAUGGAAGGUGACGAGACUGUUGGCAUUCUGACUGACGUGCCUCCGCUCAUCGGAUCCCACUGCGAGGAUGUAUAAGCUGGGUCUGACCACCGAGAGACGACGGAAUACGGCCCAGAGCACCCUGUAUUCUCCAGUUGGCUGGUGCCGAUAGAAACCAAUUAUGUCUCUCCACCCAGCGUUCCUAGCUCGAGGGUCCGGUAGGAGAGCACGCUUGUCGAUGACCGGGUUGUAGAUGUAGUAUUCAUUUCCCUCUAUGAGGAUGAGGAAGCCAUCACAGGCGACUGAGAGCCGAGGUUUUUUGCGGUAGUGCUUGAAACCCGGGAUGAAGGGCCAGAGCUGUUGACUGGAGGCGCCGGCGCCAGGGCCUUGGAAGACGACGAAACUGGCAGGCCGCCCGCGCCCGUCGAUGAUGGGGAGCGAUGGCUGGCGGUGGUGGUGUUCGAGCAUAAAUUCGGGCGUGGAGGUGGCACUGCACCAUGACGUACUGACAGCACGGCACUGGCCGACAUCCUUGGGCGGCAAUCGGAUGAGUAUCCUGUCAAUGAUUUCCUCAGGGAGGUCCUCGAGCAGGGUCGCUCCUCUCCUGUCCGGCAUGGUGCUCUGCUGUCGAGUCCGGUCAACUAAACAAAGCAGCAAGCUGUCCUUAUUGAUUUGCUUCGGCGACCAGCUUAAACGAAGGAAAACAAGUAGAAAAGCACAUACAUGUCCCUGGGAGGCGAACGCACAGAGCAGCAGGUUCCAGCGACGACGGUGAGAAUUGCGGCUGUGGACAGGAACACAGGAACCCGGUUGAGUGCCAAGGGGGAGUAAGGUGACGUGCUUGUCCGAAAUCAGGCCAAGAGGAGAGAGCUCGGACAGGAAGCCAUUGCAGGAGGUUGAGCCAGAACCAAGGGCACUCCAGACUGCAACUUUUCACAAGAAGAGAAUCAGCACAGAGCAAAUUAUAAGUAGAACAGAGUAUUGAAGCAGAAACUGAACAUUUACAAGAAGAUCAUUGCACAGAAGACCAGAUUAUACUAGAGCAGGUUAGACAAGAAGCAGAUUAUAUGGAAGCAAGAAUUGAAUAGUUACAGAGCAGACUAUACAAGAAGCAACAAGAACAAACACUACAGGGAAGAACCGAACGAACCACAAACAACAUUUAACACAUUAUUAGGAGGGUUCAAUUCGGUAGCAGCAUCUGAUAGGAACUCAGGCCAUUUCAUAACAGUACUCUCGUCUCGCCCACAAGAUGCUAAAACAUCUGCUGGGUCAAUGCGUCGAACGGUUGGCGUGCGCCAGAGAAGAUGCAUGAGCACGAUGAGGUGGCAGCGUUCACCUGCCCCUGCGAAGCUCGGGGAGAGGUGGACGGGUGGCGCAGGAGGAUGGCAGGACAGCCGAGGGCGCGUCGGGGAUAAGGGCGCGCGCAGUCGGGACAAAGCUCCUGUGGAGUGCGCAGGCUGUGCUGUGCGGAGAAGGCGACGGAGGCAGCACGCCCUACGCGGCGGCCCGCGCCAUGUCGAGCAUGGUGCGGAGAGAAGAGGCCACGCGAGGGUGCCGAAGCGGCGGCCGCCGGAGUCGAGGGUGGCGGAGGUGAGGACGGGCACGGGAACGGCAAAGCCCAGAGGAGCUCCUGUUGCGCGCUGUGGCUAGGCCGGCCAAUCUUCCUGGCUCCUGAGAAACAGAGCCCAAGAAGAACUUCACUACUCUAGUCGACUUUGUUACAUCAUUCUAAAAAACCCCAACUUUUCCAUACAAAAAUUUCAGAAAAAAUUGAAAAGUAUUAGAAAAUGUUACGAUUUAAAUAAUAUAUAUAUACAUGUUUAAAAAUGUUCAAGAAUUUUACAAAAUGUUUGGGAACUUAAAAAAUGUUCAUAAGGCCCUGAAUAUAAAAAUGAGCAGGUAAAAAAGCAAAAACCCAAAAGAUAAUCGGCAGAACACACAAAGAAGAACAUUGAGAACGAAGGAAAAACAGAAUCCCAGAUGAAUAAGCUUUUAAAAACUUUCCAUAAAAAGUGGAAAAAACAGAAAGAAAGAAGAAAAAAACCUGCCCUGCUACGACAUCCAACAGAAUUAUUCUUCCACCAGAAUCAUGGUCCUUCGACACAAUUAUAAUGUCAACAUUAACCAUGAAAAAGCCCUCCGCCGCCAGGGUCCCACAU